AAAGUUCCACUAGAUCAAUACUCAAAACAGGGAUCAAUCAUAUCAUAAAUAAGGAUAAUUAACAACAAGUAAACAUAUCUCAAAAGGAUUCCACCGAGCAUUUCCUACUUGGGCAUAAUUCUAGAAAGAACUAGAAAAUAAAGACUAACUCCUAGGGUUAUUAUAACUAUAGGUCAUUGAGCUAUCUUAAUUAGUGCAAUUUUUAGUAGUCAUAGUCAUGACUUAACUUGUAUCCAUAAACAAGAGAUAUUGCUAAAGUGGAUCAGGAGUAUAGCAAGACAUCACCCAGCAACUCUGCCUUACUAGUCCUAUAUUCGGGGACUAGACUACAUAGAACUC
rnacentral:lncRNA from 1 species